GAACUGUGGGCAAGGCGUCCUCUUUCCAGAUGGUAGCCCUGGGUUUGAGAAAGGGAGAAUCAGUGGCUGAGUGACUGUGACUCCUUGGAGCCCACGCCGGCCGGUGAGAACCGGGAACCCCAGGCAGUGGGGAAGGGGAACAAUUGUGAACGCCCUAGUGACGGAGGAGUGAGCAAGCGCCCAGGUCUCUCGAGGAGAACCCUAACUUCGAGGUUCCCCGUCUGCUUUACCCUCCAAGAAAAUCCCAGGGCCGGCUAACUUGGGCGCCGCUAGCGGAGAACGGAGUGUUCACCCCGGAGCCGAAGUGCAGUAGACACUUAGCGACUUUCCGUGGCGAGUCUAGGGUCUUUGCCUGGCGACCUCAUUGUCUGAGCGCCCCGUACCGCUCACCGCCCACCUCCCCGCCCCCUGCCCACCCGGUGGGUCUCGCUCCAGUUGGGGGUGGGGAGUUGGGAACAGUGUGAAUGGGAAGGGGGUGAACAAAGCCAAGCUCCCGCCAUUCUCCUCCGCCUGCACCCUCUCCAGCUCGAUGCGCCCGGAGGCCGGGGCGCGCCCCCAGCGCACUGACGC
rnacentral:lncRNA from 1 species